rnacentral:rRNA from 1 species
CUGGUCUUGACAUCCACGGAAGUUUUCAGAGAUGAGAAUGUGCCUUCGGGAACCGUGAGACAGGUGCUGCAUGGCUGUCGUCAGCUCGUGUUGUGAAAUGUUGGGUUAAGUCCUGCAACGAGCGCAACCCUUAUCCUUUGUUGCCAGCGGUCCGGCCGGGAACUCAAAGGAGACUGCCAGUGAUAAACUGGAGGAAGGUGGGGAUGACGUCAAGUCAUCAUGGCCCUUACGACCAGGGCUACACACGUGCUACAAUGGCGCAUACAAAGAGAAGCGACCUCGCGAGAGCAAGCGGACCUCAUAAAGUGCGUCGUAGUCCGGAUUGGAGUCUGCAACUCGACUCCAUGAAGUCGGAAUCGCUAGUAAUCGUGGAUCAGAAUGCCACGGUGAAUACGUUCCC